CACGCAGGCGGUUGUUCUAGUUAGAAGUGAAAGCCCCGGGCUCAACCUGGGAACUGCUUUUAAUACUGGACAGCUAGAAUUAUGGAGAGGGUAACGGAAUUCCGAGUGUAGAGGUGAAAUUCGUAGAUAUUCGGAAGAACACCAGCGGCGAAGGCGGUUACCUGGCCAUGUAUUGACGCUCAUGUGCGAAAGCGUGGGGAGCAAACAGGAUUAGAUACCCUGGUAGUCCACGCUGUAAACGAUGAUUGCUCGAUGUUGGGAUGUAUACAUUUCAGUGUCUAAGCUAACGCGAUAAGCAAUCCGCCUGGGGAGUACGGUCGCAAGAUUAAAA
rnacentral:rRNA from 1 species